ensembl:miRNA Mir340 microRNA 340
CAAUUGUACUUGGUGUGAUUAUAAAGCAAUGAGACUGAUUGUCAUAUGUCGUUUGUGGGAUCCGUCUCAGUUACUUUAUAGCCAUACCUGGUAUCCUA